AUCCCAUUGUGAAGGCAUUUCUGUAACAAUUCAUUGAACCACUCUCAAGCCUCAUACAAGGAUUCAUCAUCAAGUUGUUGGAAUAUGGUGAUCUCAUUUCGAAGCUU
rfam:Gossypium arboreum cultivar AKA8401 contig_2442_5, whole genome shotgun sequence.